ACUGGAGUCCGCGAGGCAUCUCCCGCACUCAUCCUACCAGCGCAGACACAGAACAGCAACUUUUUUAGGAGAGGCAGCCUCAACCCACAAUGCUCACCACAUCCGUGCCGAAGAGGGAAAACCUUUUGGAGGGGGAAGGUGGCCGGGAAACGGAGCGUGUCAGUGACCACCUAUGAAAACCAGAUUGUAAUCAGCAGAACGUGGCUCAGGAGCUCGGCGCCGAUGUCGAGGUGCUGGCUGCUUGCUACUGCUGGCCAAGACGAGAGGGCUUCAGCAGCAGAGCGAGAGAGUUCGUGUCGUGUCGCUGCUCCUCCUGCUGCGUUGAAGGAGCCCAGCCCACAGUGGAUGUCCAGUCCGGGCAUGGGGUCAGCCAGUUAUAACGAGGGAUCGAGGACACUGCGAGAAAGGGCUGGGUAUAGGCCCGCUUCCUAUUUUAUUCGCCACUGAUGACAGCCGUCCUCUGUAAUCAAACCGAGAAGAAUCUCGGAGGAACGCUGCUGGCGAACGGAGCGGAUCAACGCGGACGGCCAGAAUUGGGGAACAGUUGUCAGACUGGAACCUCGCCGCGUUGGUCGGCGCGGAUUGGAGUCGGUGAGGAGCGGAAGAAGAAGAGUCUCGAGUCAUCCCCACGUUGCUCCGAAUCUCCGCGGCGUCUCGUCUCGUGGCGACAUCCUGGGGCGUGCUGAACAGGACUCGACACACGAGGAUCGAACGGCGUCACCGGCAACUCAACUCCACCACCAAACAACAACAACAAACAACAACAACAAUUCAACACGGGAGAGCGCCCUUGCGCGUGUCCCGGUGCCACGAGGGGGCCGGCAGAGAGAUCCUUCCUCGCCGUGUCCUCCACGACCGGACACCCCGAACCUCGCCUCGCCAAGGCAGCCACGCGGGCGGAGGGAGCUGCAGCUCGCCGGCAGUUGUCGACUUAAACCGCGGAGACGACUUCUGUGUUUGCACGGGCGGGGUGGGGGCGCCAGGUGGGUGGGUAGA